rnacentral:rRNA from 1 species
GAAAUCUUUGACUUUCGCCCUAUACCCAAGGAGACGAUCGAUUUGCACGUCAGAAUCGCUUCGGACUUCCAUCAGAGUUUCCUCUGACUUCAUCCUGCUCAGGAAUAGUUCACCAUCUUUCGGGUCUCACCGCGUACGCUCUUCCUCCACCCCGCCGCAAGCGGCCAGAAUGGGGCCAUGUUGCUCCUGACCACCGUGAUUGCCAGGAUCACACGUCGCACCCUUGCGAAUGCUUUACUUUCAUUGCGCCUUUGAGUUUUCAACACCCAAUGACUUGCGCACACGAUAAACUCCUUGGUCCGUGUUUCAAGACGGGUCAGAUAGAUGACCAACUUUUACGCCGAGAGUGGGAUUGUGAGUCCGCACAGGACCGAAUCAGCAAAAGGGACAUGUCGCAUGCGACUGCCACCCCCGACCAACUCGGUGCCCAUACGAACUCGUGAGCCUUUCCCAUCUUACAUCCAAACCGAACAACAUUCCUCCAAUCCGGGUACCAGCAAAGCUGGCCUCAAAAUUGAACUCAUGCGGCCGACUCGAAAUUCUCGGUGCCCUCAACCUGUAAAUGCACCUACAUUGCCGCCAGCAAUGUAAAACCCUGUCCCAGUUUGGUGACCCUGCGCCCAACUGCCAAGGCAACGAGGCUGAAUACAGGCAAGAAACGGGGGUCUAUCCUUUUCACUACAUCGGGUACCGUCCUCUUAAAUUUCUAUUCAAA